rnacentral:rRNA from 1 species
UAAUACGGAGGAUGCGAGCGUUAUCCGGAUUCAUUGGGUUUAAAGGGUGCGCAGGCGGACUAAUAAGUCAGCGGUGAAAUACUACGGCUUAACUGUAGCUGUGCCGAUGAUACUGUUAGACUAGAGAUUAAAUGAGGUUGGCGGAAUGUGUCAUGUAGCGGUGAAAUGCAUAGAUAUGACACAGAACACCGAUAGCGAAGGCAGCUGACCAAUUUAUAUCUGACGCUCAUGCACGAAAGCGUGGGGAUCAAACAGGAUUAGAUACCCUGGUAGUCCACGCUGUAAACGAUGAUCACUGGCUGUUGUUGAGUAAUUGACAGCGGCUGAGCGAAAGUAUUAAGUGAUCCACCUGGGGAGUACGGUCGCAAGAUUGAAACUCAAAGGAAUUGACGG